AUACUUUCUGCCUCAUUUCUUCUCUGGUUAUUUUGGAAAGGAUCAAGCACUGAUUUUUCAAGAAAAGAGAAAUGCAGGAAGCUCAGGGGGCAGUAGCACACUUUGCACACGAUAAAGCAAAGACGAUGGAUUGACAAGCCCUUCCGAUCAUGGUAGUUGAUUUAUUUGCUCAGGUAUCAUGCUGUCUGUACAGUUCCAUACAACAAGGAGGUGAAAUCAGAGAUACCAGCUCCUCUUGUAAAACAGCCUUCCAGUCAUUGACACCCAUUUUCUCUUCAUUAAUUGCACCAAUAAUGCUUUGAAUUUCUUGGGGGUGCAGUAGAAAGAAUCGGAACCUGUGCUGUAUUAAUAAGGAGAUGAUGUUGAACACACCACAAAAAUUUGUUCAGUAUGUAUAGAAGCAUAUUCAGUGGUCUUUUCAAGAGUAAACCAGAAAUACUUUUGGGCCCAACACUUGCAGUUGCCUUCCUGAUGUAAAAAACUAACGUGCUAGAUAAUCCAGUGUCGGGAAGACAAAGAUGUUUUGCUUCUCUGAAGAAGCUUAUAAUAAUAUACAGUGUAUGUAUAUGUAGGGAACAAUUGGUCAAAAGUGGCUUUUUGUUUCCCCAAGGGGAAAGACUGGCUUUGUAAUUAUAAUUUUUUCCUUAUUUAUUUUACCUAAAACUGGUAGAGUCUAAGUAUUGUAUGAAGUGCCCAUGAUUCUGUCAGUAAAUUUGAGCAUAUUUUAUUAGUUAAUGUCAGUUUAAGUAGUCCUUGUGUUUGUUUCUAUUUUUAAGGUGAAUUUUAAAUUCUAUCUGAAAUCAGUAAGAUACCUUGAGAAGAACUACAAUGAGAGGAGGGAAGCAGAGGUGUCUUCAGUUCUCUCCUCACGGGACCUGGAAUGAGGCAGAGGAAGUGGAGCAGAACCUCGAGGACAGCCGCAAGCACCUGCCGGUUCCCAGAAGCCGAGCAACAGAGACGCAGCAUGCACAGGUGUGGCCUCUCCGCAUGCUCACCUGCCACCCCAGGGGAGUUGGUGGCUGGUGCCUCCCUUCCUGGAUUUUUCCCUUGCAUGUUGAUUUUCCGUGAGCUCUGGGUGCAAGAAUGCUCACAGGUGCUGUAUUAGAACAAUGCGCUUCCUCUCAGCUCACACAGAGGGCCAGAUAUUUGUCAGUUUUGUUAUUCUUUCGUUCCUUUAUGUAUUAAUCAUUCGACAAGUAUUUAUUGCGCACUGUUCUGUACAAGCAUUAGGCUGUUCCAGCUCUUCUUUUUGAGUCUCCUGGCCACUGUUUAUGGACACUAGACAACGUUGUCUUUGAAAGGCCAGAGAUGCACUCCGAGGUGGCCUAUGGUGGUCAGGAAGGCUUUGGCCAGUUAGCGGGGGUGAGUGGGGGGACAACAGAGUCUCCCCACUUCCUCAGACUCUUCUCUUCGCAAGUUGGAAACCUCUGAUGUGAACGUUUCUUGCCACACAGUAACUCUGCUCCUGAGAACCAAGAAGGCUGGUGACAGGAAAAUGCCCCCCUGAAGCUGGCUAGGGAUUUCACUUAGGGGUGACACAAAGUGAGGAGUGUGCUGCCAAAUGUCCCCGAUUCUUUCUCCCCAAACUAACAAGAUCUUAAUUAAGCUUCACUCCGGCAGGCAAUUCAGGGAUAAACCAACUGCCGGUUGCCAGGGGCUUCCAGAGGCUGAGGCUUUACCAGCCCCCAUCCAGACAUGGGAAGACUAGGAUUGGGAAGUGGAAUUUUAUUGCCAAAGUCGGAUGCUUUUGAGAGUUAAAGAGGUGCUAUUAAAACAUAUGCAGGAAUAACAUCUGUAAACCAGAAUUGUCUUAGGCACCGGAUGAAGGAUCACCCUUUCUAGAAUGGUGUUUUCAGAAGCGACCUGCAAUGAGAAAAUGUAGUCUGCUGUUUGGAAUGAAAUCCAGAACUCCUGCUGACCGACAGAAAUCCUCCACACAAAUCUGCCGCCUCCUUCCAUUUCCCCUAGAGCACAGAGAAGGAGCAUAGCCCCAAAUGCUGCUGGGUUGGGGCCACUUUAUAAAGCCACUCUGGACCUCCAGGACAUAGAAAAGAUGCAUGCAGUGCUCCCCUGGGGAAUCAGCAACCAGCCUGGAAUCUCAGGGGCUCUUUGAAGAUGAGCGGGCAGGAGGGAGGAAAUGAUUGUAGCUCGGUGGGGUCAGAACACAGGCCUUUGCUCCACACUGAUAUUUUCUUCAAAGGUCAAGAAUGUGUUUGGGCUUUGUAGAUGUUUUACCGAAAUAUGAUUUAGGGGAAGUUCCAAGCUCAGAGAUUGAGUUUCUAAGUUUGCUGUCUCCUGUUUCCAUGCUACAGUGCAUUCAUUGACAGUAUUUUUAGAAGAGGAUCUUUGAAAAUGGGAAGGCAGGUAUGACAGCAGAGUGAUUCAUUAGCUGUGCCUCUGCACAGGAUGUCUUGGGGGCUGGGCAUGAGGUCCCAAAUGUGUGUGGAUCACAGAGGGGCACGGGCUGGAGCCAUGAAGCAGGCAGGAACCCAGAACAUUACGACUGCACUGUGAGCCCUUAGACCAGAGAGGUGAGCGAGGAACCUGGAAUUUGGAUGUACUUGCAGAGCUGGGACGGCACUGACACAGCGUCCCGGGUCUCAGCUUCCAUCUCUGCGCAUGGAUCAGAAUGAGCACCAGAGCAGACGCAGGAUCAUGACUCACCUUUCGCCCAUCCCCCCUUGCCUUGCCGUCAAGACUUACUGCCGAGAUACCACGUGUGCAGCUCUAUGUGUGCUUGGGCACAUUAACAGAGAGAUCUGAGAUCUGGUCAGCUUUCUACUUAACCAGCAAAUGUCCCACCUUCUGAGACUUCCCAGAUGCAAAACUCCAGCAUUCUCCUUCUAGUGAAAAGGAGCUGUCCUGCAGGGACAGCCAGGCACUGGCUGACCUCUGGGCGGAGGCGAUGACAACCCACAAAGAUUUUCCAUGCCUUUUUUGGUUCUGAAAGAAAGAAAAAUAAAACAAAUAAACAAAAAAACCCAGGAAGAUUCAAAGAAUGGUUUGUACUUCUUUUUUUUUUUUUUUUUUUUGAGAUGGAUUUUCAGUCUGUCACCAGGCUUGAGUGCAAUGGCGUGAUCUCGGCUCACUGCAACCUCUGCCUCCCAGGUUCAAGCAAUUCCCCUGCCUCAACCUCCUGAGUAGUUGGGACUACAGGUCCAGGCCACCAUGCCCAGCUAAUUUUUGUAUUUUUAGUAGAGACGGGGUUUCACCAUGUUGGCCAGGAUGGUCUCGAUCUCCUGACCUCGUGAUCUGCCCACCUCAGCCUCCCAAAAGCCACCGUGACCAGCCAUAAUCGAUUCUUAACGAGGAAAGAUAAUUAAAGGAACAAUAGUGCUAAUGAUAAUAAUUACUAGAUAAAGUAGCCAGCAUUCUUGAAUGCAGCAUUUCAAUUAAUCCUCACAAGGAGCCUCCGAGGUUGGUAUCAUUAUCUCCGUAUUUGAGAUGGGGAAAGAGAGGCUGAGUUGCUGGCCUGACGUCCCUCUGCUGGGAAGUGGCGCCCAUGUGGGAGCUGGCCUGGUUCUUGUGGGUUGCAGGACAAUGACAAUUGGCCAGACAGGAAUGUCCUUGGGCUCCCAUCACCAAAUCCCACCACUUCCCCUGUGCUUCUCUCUAUCCUUUCCUCUUUCUAAACCGUGAGGAAGGCAGAGGUGGCCCCGCUUGCGUGUCCAAGGCUUGCGCAUCCUGAGGGGCCCUUCUCUCUCUCUCUGCUCCAGCUUUUCUUAUUCCCCACUGGGUCCUCCCAUCAGCACUUAUGUCUCGUUUCCCAUGAAAAAGAAACAGAUCAAAGCGCUCGUCCUGGAGGGCUUCCUCCCUCUUCCCUUUGCUUCCUUUCUCUGCCACUAAAUUUCUAGCAAGAACUUGGAUCCACUUCACAACCCGCUGCUAUCUGCAUUCUGCCCCCAUCAGCACGCCAGGGUCACUGAUCAGCUCCUAACUGAACCUGGCGUCCGCCUCUAUCCCUGUCCCGCUCGCCUUCUCCGGGAUUCCUGAGCUGCCACUCCUUCCAGGCUUCUGCCUUUCCUCAUCACACCGCCUCCCGAUUCUCCGUCUCCUCCCCGAGCCGCUCCUUCCCAGUUUGCUUUACAGAUGCUCCUCUUCCUGCCCACUCAUGAGGCUGAAUUUUAGGUGUCAGCUUGACUGGGGCGUGGGGUGCCCACAUAUCCUGGCUUUGUCUAUGAGGAUGCUUUUGGACCAGGACCGUUUGAAUGGGUGGGCGGAGCAAGGCAGACGGCCAUCCCCGGUGU
rnacentral:lncRNA from 1 species